CACAAACAGAAGAGUUAAUCUCAUGGAGGCUGAAAAGUUUUCGUUAGUGGGGAAGCAAUGCAUCAUGGUGACUGACUUCAACAGGAUUGCUCCUGAGUUGAGCACCAGCCAUCCUGCGUGAGCCGUGAUGGGAAGACAGCACAGAAUUAUGCUCUCUAAGUCUGUUUUGUGGUAUUUCCCCUUUUUCUUUCAGAGAAGUGUGAGUCACCUGGGGAAUGUCAGGAAACACAAGAAGUUUGCAGAAAUCUUACCCACGUAGCCAGCAAAACCAAGAUGACGUCAGUGUGCUAUGAAUCACCGGCACGGAACAUCCAGCUGAUGGUUGGAGACACUACUUUGAUCAUGUACUGGAGCUGAGAGUGAGAUGUGUCAACAAGAACUCCCAAGCCUCAGCUUGUAGCAUUUCUGUGGGGUUCUCAGUGGAAGCGAAGGAGAAAAGGAAACAUAUUUGCUGAGUAGAUGUUAUCUGUCUUCAAACCUACUUCUGGUAGGUCCCUGGAGGUUUUCAAGGAAAGGGUAGAUGUCACAACCAGGGACAUGGUUGGUGGGCAUGGUGGUGAUGGGUUGAUGGUUGGAUGAGAUGAUCUUAG
ensembl:lncRNA